UUAACGGACUGAUAUUAUCGCACAGAACAAAAGCUCUCAUAAACCUUGUGUUAAACUCGAACCUAAUUUUUGGCAUUUAUCCCAAAACACUGUUUUUCGCAUUACUUUUCCCCAUAGGAGUGGUUGAAUGAACUAGCGGCAACUCAUUUCCGUUUUUUAGGACUACAACUGGCGAGAUGGUAAAUUGAUACACAUUAUUACAGCUCAAAAUUACCUGUUGGAAACAAUUCUGAUAAUAACAAGAAUUUGUAAUAUGUCUUGGUAACAACCUUAAUAUGGUGUUUUAGUAUGUAAUCACUUAAUUGGGCGAGAGUUAUGCAUAUGUAGCUAGUUGACAGCUUUUUCUGUUUGGUAUGUCUGACAUCACACGGCGCCAAGAACUACGCGGGCACAACUGUGAGCUCCAAAUACGUUCACUUUUAAAAUGGGAUGCAAGCAGGUCAAGCAAGACAGUUCAUUCUAGCGAUUCAGUGAACCGUUCAUUUUCCACCGGUUUUAUUUUCUGUCUACAGAGGAAAUUAAAUGAAUAGGAUAUUUAUCUAAAUGUUUUCCUGGUGGAGGAAAUCCACAGUAAGAUUCAACGCUGACUUCUGGAAUAACAACGAAGAGCUACCUCCACUGCAUGUUCUGUCAGUUCCUCCACAUCACCUUCCUCAAACUAUGCACUGGAAUCCAGUGGCUGUUUAACACCCCUGUUGAAAGUUAUCUGGGUCUGGACACCACCCUCUGAAACUAGAUCCUGGACUUCCUGACCAGCAGACCACAGGCUGUGAGGAUUGGCAACAACACCUCCUCCACACGGACUCUUAACACAUGGGCCCCCAGGUCCUCAGUCCUAUGCUGAAUGCCCUGUUCACCCACGGCCACAUGGCUUUGCACGACACCAACACCAUCAAGUUUGCUGACGACACCACGGUUGUAGGCCUGAUAACCAACAACGAUGAGUCCAUAUCAAUGAGACUGCAGUAGAGAAUCACAAGUUCUACAUGUUUAGGGAUGCACAUCACUGAGGACUUGUCGUGGACCAACCACCACUCUUGUCAAGAGGGCGGAACAGCGUCUCUACUCCCUAAGGUGGCGGAAGACAUUUGGCAUGACGCCCUGGGUCCUUUCCCACCCAUCCAGGACAUCUACUCAAAAAGGGACGCGAGGAAGGCAUGCAGCAUCAUCAAUCCUUUAAAGCAUCCUUCCAUCCUUCCGCAUUUUAGAUUAUUGUUUUUUCCCUCUCUUUCACGUAUCACUCUUUUUUCUUGUUUUUCCUUCACCCAUGAUUAUUUAUUAUUAAGCUCUAUGUUCAUGCCUGCCUGCUUCCAUGGCUUUUGCACUUUGUGUGGGAGUUGGAUGGCAUAUCUGUCGUGUUCUGACCUUAGUUCCUUUUUUAUGUCUUCAUUUUAGUUGAUCAGGGCUGGGGUUGAGGUGGGCAUUCUAUGUUGUUUUUCUAUGUUUUGUUCUGUUGUUAUAUUUCUAUGUGUUUGGCCUAGUAUGGUUCUCAAUCAGAGGCAGGUGUCAGUCGUUGUCUCUGAUUGGGAGCCAUAUUUAGGGAGCCUGUUUUCUAUUGUGUUUUGUGGGUGGUUGUAUCCUGUGUUAGUGUUUUCACCAUACGGGACUUUUGUUUGUUUUGUUCAGUGUUCUGUUGAUUUAUUAAAUAUAUCAUUGUGGACACUUACCACGCUGCACAUUGAUCUGAUCCUUGCUGCUCCUCCUCUGAAGAAGAGGAAUUUCGUUACAGAACCACCCACCAGAAAAGGACCAAGCAGUGUGGUAACGGGCAGCAGAAAUCUCAAGACUCGUGGACAUGGGAGGAGAUUUUGGAAGGCAAGGGACCCUGGGCACAGGCUGGGGAAUAUCGCCGCCCCAAGGCAGAGAUGGAGGCAGCUAAAGCUGAGCGGCGGUGGUGUGAGGAGCGCGGCUGGGACGAGAGGCAGCCCAAAAACUUAUUGGGGGGGGGCACACGGGGAGUGUGGCUAAGUCAGGUAGGAGACUUGAGCCAACUCCACAUGCUUAUCGUGGAGAGGUGGACCGGGCAGGCACCGUGUUAUGCCGUGAUCGCAUCGGCCAGGCUAGAGUGGACAUCGAGCCAGGUGCCAUGAAGCCGGCUCAGCGCAUUUGGUCUCCAGUGCGUCUCCUCGGGCCGGGGUACAUGGCACCAGCCCUAUGCAUGGUGUCCCCGGUUCUCCAGCACAGCCACUGUUGGCUAAACAAUUUCGUAGUAAAGUCAAGUGCCAUCUCUUUCCCAUUGAUUAUAAUCUCCUGUUGUACAAAAAAAAAUGCAUCAAUUUUCCAGAGGCUCAGAGUUUGUCUUAUAUUUCCAGGUAGCUCCUUCAUUUAUGUCCUUCACUUCUAAAUUUUCCCGCCCCCUGUUUUCUUUUUUGUAUUGAUACAUUUUUAAAUGUUUUAUUCUGUUAGUAGAUUUUGAAAAGCUGUGUUAAUCAUUCUCCAAAUGAAUCAUGCAAAUUAGCAUUUUAUCAUUAGAGGUAGAAAGUAUUUUUGAAAUACUACUUGAAUUAUUACUGUAAAAUAUUAUUGUAAUAUUACACAUUCUUGCCAGUUACAUAUCUAGCCCUCCUUAUUAGUCUUCCCCACUGCUAAUAGAAUUAGUAGCAUAGCUAACUAAAUACCUAGCUGGACUAGCUGCAUUGGUUGUUUUGACUCAUCACAUAAGCUGCUGCUAUUGUUUAUUAUCUAUCCUGUUGUCUAGUCACUUUACCCCUACAUACAGUGCCUUCGGAAAGUAUUCAGACCCAUUGACUUUUCCACAUUUUGUUACGUAACAGCCUUGUUCUAAAAUGGAUUACAUUAAAAAAAUCCUCAGCAAUCUACACACAACACCCCAUAAUUACUAAGCAAAAACUGGUUUCUAGACAUUUUUACAAAAUGUGUUAACUGAAAUACCUUAUUGACAUAAGUAUUCAGAUCCUUUGCUAUGAGACUCAAAAUUGAGGUCAGAUGCAUCCUGUUUCCAUUGAUCAUCCAUGAGAUGUUUCUAAAACUUGAUUGGAGUCUACCUGUGGUAAAUUUAAUUAAUUGGACAUGAUUUGGAAAGGCUCACACCUGUCAAUAUAGGGUCCCACUGUUAACAGUGCAUGUCAGAGCAAAAAAACAAGCCAUGAGGUUGAAGGAAUUGCCCUUAGAGCACCUUGACAGGAUUGUGUCGAGGCACAGAUCUGGGGAAGGGUACCGAAACAUUUAUGCAGCAUUGAAGGUCCCCAAGAACACAGUGGCCUCCAUCAUUCUUAAAUGGAUGAAUUUUGGAACCACCAAGACUCUUCCUAGAGCUGGCCACCUGGCCAAACUGAGCAGUCGGGGGAGAUGGGCCUUGGUCAGGUAGGUGACGAAGAACUCAAUGUUCACUCUGACAGAGCUCUACAGUUCCUCUGUGGAGAUGGGAGAACCUUCCAGAUGGACAACCAUCUCUGCAGCACUCCACCAAUCAGGCCUUUAUGGUAGAAUGGCCAGAUGGAAGCCACUCCUCAGUAAAAGGCACAUGGCAGCUUGAUUGGAGUUUGCCAAAAAGCACCUAAAGACUCUCAGACCAUGAGAAACAAGAUUCUCUGGUCUGAUGAAACCAAGAUUGAACUCUUUGGCCUGAAUGCCAAGUGUUACGUCUGGAGGAAACCUGCCACCGUCCCUACAGUGACGCAUGGUGGUGGCAGCAUCAUGCUGUGGGGGAUGUUUUUCAGCGGCAGGAACUGGGAGACUAGUCAGGAUUGAGGCAAAGAUGAACAGAGCAAAGUACAGAGAGAUCCUUGAUGAAAACUUGCUCUAGAGCACUGAGAACAUCAGACUCGGGCGACGGUUCACCUUCCAAUAGGACAACGACCAUAUGCACACAGCUAAGACAAUGCAGGAGUGGCUUCGGGAAAAGUCUCAAUGUCCUUGAGUGGCCCAGCCAGAGCCCGGACUUGAACCCAAAUCAAACAUCUCUGGAGAGACCUGAAAAUAGCUGUGCAGCAACGCUCCCCAUCCAACCUAACAGAGCUUGAGAGGAUCUGCAGAGAAGAAUGGGAGAAAAUCCCCAAAUACAGGUGUGCCAAGCUUGUAGCAUCAUAUCCAAGAAGACUCGAUGCUGUAAUCACAGCCAAAGGUGCUUCAACAAAGUACUGAGUAAAGGGUCUGAAUACUUAUGUAAAUCUAAUAUUUCAAUUUUUUUUUCAAAUAAAUUCACUAACAUUUCUAAAAAAUACAGUUUUUGCUUUGUCAUUAUGGGGUAUUGUGUGUAGAUUGAUGAGGGGAAAAAACUGUUUAAUACAUAUUAGAAUAAGGCUACACGCUUCAGCAUUCAGCGGUCCCAUUCUUUGACCUUGUGUGGCCUACCACUUCACAGAUUAGCCAUUGUAGCUCCUAGUCGUUUCCAUUUCACAAUAUCAGGAACUACAGUUGACCGGGGCAGCUCUUGCAGGGCAGAAAUUUGACCAAUUAACUUGUUGGAAAGGUAGCAUCCUAUGACGGUGCCACAUUGCUAGUCACUGACUUCUUCAGUAUGAGCCAUUCUACUGCCAAUCUUUGGAGAUUGCAUGGCUGUGUUCUUCGUUUUAUACACCUGUCAGCAACAGGUGUGGUUGAACUAGCCAAAUCCACAAAGUUGAAGGGGUGUCCACAUACUUUUGUAGUGUAACUGCCUCACUUACCUCGUACCCCUGCACAUCAACUCGGUACUGGUAGCCUGUGUAUAUAGCCACAAUAUUGUUACUCAUUGUGUAUUUAUUCCUUGUUAUUUUUUUAAUUAAAAAAAAAUAAAAUUCUCUCUGCAUUGUU